GUUUAUCCAAAAAUAGAUUACUAUCAUAUAACAAAUUAACAACUUUGCAUUUACCCUUUAGUUUGAAUUUGACCAUCCUUUCACUCCAAGAUUUUCUUAUAUCCUUAUCACUCCUUUGAUCCUCAUCAUUUCUGUUACCAACUUGUGUGACGUUUCUAACAUGUAAAACAUCCCUUCUCUCUUCAGUUUCAUGGUCAUUCCAAGACUGAAAGAGGACUCUGAAGAAAUUAAGCACAGGGGAGUAGUCUAUCAUGUUAUGCCGCUUCAAAGUUUGUUGGUUUGGCAUGGCCUUCAACAAAUUUGGAUUUUGACUUGGUACUGUGAGGACGAGGACGAAGAAGAUGACUUAGGAGAUGAAGAUUAAUUAGACUUCUUCCGCUUCUACUUCUUUCGAAUACCGGCAACCUCAGUCCAUGGUAAGUCUCUAUGAAUCUCAGAUCCCGAUUUCUGCCUUAGAGAUUCUCCAAAAUCUUGUAGGGACAAUGAAAUAAAGUCAAGACUAAGAUUUCCAUUUCUACAUGUUUCAAUAGUAACGUAUCAAUACCUUGUAUUCUCAAUAUUUCUUUCUUUUGUGGGCAAUGCAUUGUGUUGAUAGUUUAUAAUAUGAAAUAAUAACUGAAAAAAUAAAAAAAUAUGGAAAAAAAGGAAAAGUUAAUUAAGAACCAGACCUUCAGAUGACCACAGAGAAAGAGCAUAACCAGAAUUGCCAAUCGACAUUGCUGAAAAAUUAGGCCGUCUUGAAUUCAUUCAUCUGCAUUAUGAAACAAAUAAAUUAUUUUUGAAGAAUACAAAAAAUCUUGAUCUAGAUGAAUAAAUUUGUCACGUACGUACCCAACCAGGUCCAGUUCUGGAAGGGCCAUCCCACCCG
rnacentral:lncRNA from 1 species